UACGGAGGGUGCAAGCGUUGUCCGGAUUUAUUGGGUUUAAAGGGUGCGUAGGCGGCCCAUUAAGUCAGUGGUGAAAUCCAACAGCUCAACUGUUGAACUGCCAUUGAUACUGGUGGGCUUGAGUAAAGUCGAGGCAGGCGGAACUGGUGGUGUAGCGGUGAAAUGCAUAGAUACCACCAAGAACCCCGAUUGCGAAGGCAGCUUGCUGGGCUUUAACUGACGCUGAGGCACGAAAGCGUGGGGAGCGAACAGG
rnacentral:misc_RNA from 1 species